rnacentral:rRNA from 1 species
GACGAACGCUGGCGGCAGGCCUAACACAUGCAAGUCGAGCGGAGCGGCGGACGGGGGAGGAAUGCCUAGGAAUCUGACUGGUCGUGGGGGAUAGCGUCCGGAACUGGGCGCUAAUACCGCUUACUAUCAGAUGAGCCUAGGCCGGAUUAGCUAGUUGGUGGGGUAAAGGCCUACCAAGGCGACGAUCCGUAACUGGUCUGAGAGGAUGAUCAGUCACACUGGAACUGAGACACGGUCCAGACUCCUACGGGAGGCAGCAGUGGGGAAUAUUGGACAAUGGGCGAAAGCCUGAUCCAGCCAUGCCGCGUGUGUGAAGAAGGUCUUCGGAUUGUAAAGCACUUUAAGUUGGGAGGCGUUACCAACAGAAUAAGCACCGGCUAACUUCGUGCCAGCAGCCGCGGUAAUUC